GGCUUGAUGUUUUGGAAACACUGGACCUUGAACGUCCACAUAAGAUG
rnacentral:tRNA from 1 species